rnacentral:rRNA from 1 species
UUAAGUAAGGAAGGGCGUACGGCGAAUGCCUUGCCACUCGAAACUGAAGAAGGACGCGCCAAACUGCGAAAAGCUCCGUGAAGCUGUAAGGAAGCGAAGAAGCGGAGGUGUCCGAAUGGGGGAACCCGGCAGCAGACAUGAGCUGUCAUCUGCAGGUGAAUACAUGGCCUGCAAGAGAGGUACCCGGCGAACUGAAACAUCUAAGUAGCCGGAGGAAAAGAAAACAACAGUGAUUCCCUGAGUAGCGGCGAGCGAAAGGGGAGAAGCCCAAACCGGUCCGAGGGCCGGGGUUGAAGGACCAUGAUAUGGCAAGAACGAGGAUAGGAGAACGGGAUCGAAAGCCCGGCCGAAGAAGGUGAAAGCCCUGUAACCGAAAUCCAAGGGAAGCCUAAUGGGAUCCUGAGUACGGCGAGACACGAGAAAUCUUGUCGGAAGCAGGCGGGACCAUCCGCCAAGGCUAAAUAUAAACGAGUGAGCGAUAGUGAACCAGUACCGUGAGGGAAAGGUGAAAAGAACCGCGGGAGCGGAGUGAAAGAGAACCUGAAACCGUAUGCCUACAAGAAGUCAGAGCCCGUUAAGGGGUGAUGGCGUGCCUUUUGUAGAAUGAACCGGCGAGUUGCGACAGACUGCGAGGUUAAGGAGGAAAGACCGGAGCCGAAGCGAAAGCGAGUCUUAAUAGGGCGAAAGUAGGAUGUUGCAGACCCGAAACCGGGUGAUCUAGCCAUGAGCAGGUUGAAGUUGAGGUGAAACUCAAUGGAGGACCGAACCGACUACCGUUGAAAAGUUAGCGGAUGACUUGUGGCUAGGGGAGAAAUUCCAAUCGAACCCGGAGAUAGCUGGUUCUCCCCGAAAUAGCUUUAGGGCUAGCGUCGGAAAGAACCUUAGUGAAGGUAGAGCACUGAAUGUGUGAUGGCCCCAUCCCGGGGUACUGAAUACAAUCAAACUGCGAAUGUCAUUAAGGAUGUCCGGCAGUCAGACUGUGAGUGAUAAGGUCCAUGGUCAAGAGGGAAACAGCCCAGACCGCCAGUUAAGGUCCCAAAAUACAGGCUAAGUGGAAAAGGAUGUGGGGAUGCCCAGACAACUAGGAGGUUGGCUCAGAAGCAGCCAUCCUUUAAAGAGUGCGUAACAGCUCACUAGUCGAGUGACCCUGCGCCGAAAAUGUACCGGGGCUAAGCCUGAUACCGAAACUGCGGAUUGUAGGAAACUAUAGUGGUAGGGGAGCGUUGUAUACGAGCAGAAGCCGUACCGUGAGGAGCGGUGGAUUGUAUAGAAGUGAGAAUGCCGGUGUGAGUAGCGAGAUGUAGGUGAGAAUCCUACACACCGAAAGCCCAAGGAUUCCAGGGGAAGGUUCGUCCGCCCUGGGUAAGUCGGGACCUAACGCGAGGCCGAAAGGCGUAGUGGAUGGAAAGCAGGCGAAAGAUUCCUGCACCCGUAUAUGGAGCGAAGGAGUGACGGAGACGGAUAGUGUGACCCUCUUAAUGGAUUGAGGGCGAAGCGAAGCGGCUGGUUACCAGGCAAAUCCGGUAACUGAAAGGCUAGAGCGUGACAGGUAAGCGAAAUCUUUGGAAAGUAGCGAAGCACAUGAUGACGGCUUCCAGGAAAAGCUUCUGGCAAUGCAUAUGCGGCCCGUACCAAAACCGACACAGGUGGGCAGGGAGAGAAUCCCGAGGUGAGCGAGAGAACUGUUGCCAAGGAACUCGGCAAAAUGACUCCGUAAGUUAGCGAGAAGGAGUGCUUAAGCAAUUAAGCCGCAGUGAAGAGGCCCAAGCGACUGUUUAACUAAAACACAGCUCUCUGCGAAGUCGCAAGACGAAGUAUAGGGGGUGACACCUGCCCGGUGCUGGAAGGUUAAGAGGAUCUGUUAAGAGCGAUCUGAAGCAGUGAUCCGAAGCCCCAGUGAACGGCGGCCGUAACUAUAACGGUCCUAAGGUAGCGAAAUUCCUUGUCAGGUAAG